AGUUGAGCAAAAGUAAUGACUUUGAGUAACUUGAGCCAGAUGGUCACCAGAGGAGAGCCCAGUAUUUGGUGCCAGUGGGCAGGAAGAACUUGCUAAGAGACUUGCUGAACUUGAGCUCAGCCGGGAGUUCCUGAGCGCAUUAGGAGAUGAUCAAGACUGGUUUGAUGAAGACUUUGGUUUGAGCUCUUCUCACAAGAUCCAAAAAAAUAAGGCAGAAGAAACCAUUGUACCUCUAAUGGCAGAACCUAAAAGAGUAACCCAACAACCAUGUGAAACAUUAUUGGCAGUCCCCCAUACUGCAGAAGAAGUAGAAAUUCUUGUACAUAAUGCAGCAGAAGAACUUUGGAAAUGGAAAGAAUUGGGCCACGAUCUUCAUAGCAUCAGUAUUCCUACAAAACUGCUUGGCUGUGCCAGUAAAGGUCUAGAUAUAGAAAGCACUAGUAAAAGGGUCUACAAACAGGCGGUUUUUGAUUUAACAAAAGAGAUUUUUGAGGAAAUAUUUGCUGAGGAUCCCAACUUAAAUCAACCUGUCUGGAUGAAGCCAUGUAGAAUCAACUCUAGUUAUUUCCGACGAGUGAAAAAUCCAAAUAACCUUGAUGAAAUCAAGAGCUUCAUAGCAAGUGAAGUACUCAAGUUGUUCAGUCUUAAAAAGGAGCCAAACCACAAAACAGAUUGGCAGAAAAUGAUGAAAUUUGGAAGAAAGAAAAGAGACCGAGUGGAUCAUAUCCUGGUUCAGGAGCUCCAUGAGGAGGAGGCACAGUGGGU
rnacentral:sRNA from 1 species